AGUGAACGCUGGCGGUAGACCUAACACAUGCAAGUCGAACGGCAGCACAGUAAGAGCUUGCUCUUACGGGUGGCGAGUGGCGGACGGGUGAGGAAUACAUCGGAAUCUACUUUUUCGUGGGGGAUAACGUAGGUAAACUUACGCUAAUACCGCAUACGACCUACGGGUGAAAGCAGGGGAUCUUCGGACCUUGCGCGAUUGAAUGAGCCGAUGUCGGAUUAGCUAGUUGGCGGGGUAAAGGCCCACCAAGGCGACGAUCCGUAGCUGGUCUGAGAGGAUGAUCAGCCACACUGGAACUGAGACACGGUCCAGACUCCUACGGGAGGCAGCAGUGGGGAAUAUUGGACAAUGGGCGCAAGCCUGAUCCAGCCAUACCGCGUGGGUGAAGAAGGCCUUCGGGUUGUAAAGCCCUUUUGUUGGGAAAGAAAAGCAGCAGGUUAAUACCCCGCUGUUCUGACGGUACCCAAAGAAUAAGCACCGGCUAACCUCGUG
rnacentral:rRNA from 1 species